UGGAGAAAUGGGAGAUGUUUAGAAGGGUUUAGAGGAGAAUGGGAUAACUGUAUGGACAAGUCAUUCCUCAUAUAAUCCUCAAAGGAAAUGUGAUAUGAGAAUGUCAGGGUGAACACGAGAUACACAAAGGGUGCCCCAGCUUGAUGUUAUGGAAAAUGAGCUGGGGUUUGGAUCUAUGAAAGUUAGGGUGAGAAAAUUUCAAAUGAGAUUUGCAAAGUUGCCCCCAGUCUUGAGGUUAUGGAUUGAUGAAAAACUUGUGUGAGACUCACAAAGCUGCCCC
rnacentral:lncRNA from 1 species